rnacentral:rRNA from 1 species
GCAUAUCAUAAGCGGAGGAAAAGAAAGCCAACAGGGAUUGCCCUAGUAACGGCGAGUGAAGCGGCAUCAGCUCAAAUUUGAAAUCUGGCUCUUUCAGGGUCCGAGUUGUAAUUUGCAGAGGGCGCUUUGGUGUUGGCAGCGGUCCAAGUUCCUUGGAACAGGACGUCACAGAGGGUGAGAAUCCCGUACGUGGUCGCUGGCCUUCGCCGUGUAAAGCCCCUUCGACGAGUCGAGUUGUUUGGGAAUGCAGCUCUAAAUGGGAGGUAAAUUUCUUCUAAAGCUAAAUACUGGCCAGAGACCGAUAGCGCACAAGUAGAGUGAUCGAAAGAUGAAAAGCACUUUGGAAAGAGAGUCAAAUAGCACGUGAAAUUGUUGAAAGGGAAGCGCUUGCAGCCAGACUUGCCUGUAGUUGCUCAUCUAGGCUCUUUGCCUAGUGCACUCUUCUGCGGGCAGGCCAGCAUCAGUCUAGGCGGUUGGAUAAAGGCCUCUGUCAUGUACCUCCUCUCGGGGAGGCCUUAUAGGGGAGGCGUAAUGCAACCAGCCUGGACUGAGGUCCGCGCAUCUGCUAGGAUGCUGGCGUAAUGGCUGUAAGCGGCCCGUCUUGAAACACGGACCAAGGAGUCUAACAUCUAUGCGAGUGUUUGGGUGUCAAGCCCGAGCGCGUAAUGAAAGUGAACGGAGGUGGGAUCCCUUUAGGGUGCACCAUCGACCGAUCCUGAUGUCUUCGGAUGGAUUUGAGUAAGAGCAUGGCUGUUGGGACCCGAAAGAUGGUGAACUAUGCUUGAAAUAGGGUGAAGCCAGAGGAAACUCUGGUGGAGGCUCGCAGCGGUUCUGACGUGCAAAUCGAUCGUCAAAUUUGGGCAUAGGGGCGAAAGACUAAUCGAACUAUCUAGUAGCUGGGUUCCUGCCGA